UGUGUUGACUCUUGUUCUUGGAAAAGCCU
rnacentral:piRNA from 1 species